UGGGGAAUAUUGGACAAUGGAGGCAACUCUGAUCCAGCAAUUCUGUGUGUGUGAAGAAGGUUUUAGGACUGUAAAACACUUUUAGUAGGGAAGAAAGAAAUGACGGUACCUACAGAAGAAGCGACGGCUAAAUACGUGCCAGCAGCCGCGGUAAUACGUAUGUCGCGAGCGUUAUCCGGAAUUAUUGGGCUUAAAGGGCAUCUAGGCGGUUAAACAAGUUGAAGGUGAAAACCUGUGGCUCAACCAUAGGCUUGCCUACAAAACUGUAUAACUAGAGUACUGGAAAGGGGGGUGGAACUACACGAGUAGAGGUGAAAUUCGUAGAUAUGUGUAGGAAUGCCGAUGAUGAAGAUAACUCACUGGUCGGCAACUGACGCUGAAGUGCGAAAGCUAGGGGAGCAAACAGG
rnacentral:rRNA from 1 species